CUGGGGGCGGGGCCAGGCCUAGGCCUCCGGGCUCCGCCUCGCCGGCUACGCAGGAGCGGGGCUGCGGCGCGGGCCGGGGCACCAUGGCGGCGGCGGCAGCGCCUGCUGCGGCGGUGGUUUCUCCUGAGGCGCCGGUGGCUACCCCGACGGCGGAGCCCGACACCGGGGACGAAGACAGUCGCGAGGUCCGAGUGCUGCAGAGCCUGCGGGGAAAGAUCUGUGAAGCGAAAAACUUACUGCCUUAUCUUGGACCCAAUAAAAUGAGAGAUUGUUUCUGUACCAUAAAUUUGGACCAAGAAGAAGUUUAUCGUACCCAAGUUGUGGAGAAGUCUUUAAGCCCCUUUUUCAGUGAAGAGUUUUACUUUGAGAUUCCAAGAACUUUCCAGUAUUUGUCUUUCUAUGUCUAUGAUAAGAAUGUUCUACAAAGAGACCUUCGGAUAGGGAAAGUAGCCAUCAAGAAAGAAGACCUGAGUAAUCACAGUGGCAGAGAAACUUGGUUUUCGUUACAGCCUGUGGAUUCCAACUCAGAAGUUCAGGGUAAAGUUCACCUUGAAUUAAAACUGAAUGAACUGAUCACAGAGAACGGGACUGUGUGCCAGCAGCUUGUUGUACACAUUAGGGCUUGCCAUGGCUUACCUCUCAUCAAUGGGCAGAGCUGUGACCCUUAUGCAACUGUUUCUCUUGUGGGCCCUUCCAGGAAUGACCAAAAGAAGACAAAAGUAAAGAAGAAAACAAGCAAUCCGCAGUUUAAUGAGAUCUUUUAUUUUGAGGUAACCAGAUCCAGUAGUUAUACCAGGAAGUCCCAGUUCCAGGUAGAAGAGGAGGACAUUGAAAAGUUAGAAAUUAGGAUCGACUUGUGGAACAAUGGAAACUUGGUCCAAGAUGUUUUCCUAGGUGAGAUUAAGGUUCCUGUGAAUGUUUUAAGAAGCGAUUCCUCUCAUCAAGCUUGGUACUUACUUCAGCCAAGAGACAAUGGAAACAAGUCAUCAAAAACUGAUGACCUGGGGUCUCUUCGAUUAAAUAUCUGUUAUACAGAAGACUAUGUGCUUCCCUCAGAGUACUAUGGUCCUUUAAAAUCCUUGCUGCUAAAAUCACCAGACGUCCAGCCAAUAUCUGCCUCAGCUGCUUACAUUUUGGGUGAAAUAUGCCGAGAGAAAAAUGAUGCUGUUUUGCCCCUUGUCCGACUGCUGCUGCACCACGAUAAACUUGUUCCUUUUGCCACUGCGGUGGCUGAACUAGACUUGAAGGACAUACAAGAUGCUAACACCAUCUUUCGAGGAAACUCCUUGGCUACCCGGUGUCUGGAUGAAAUGAUGAAGAUAGUGGGAAGGCACUACCUGAAAGUGACAUUGAAACCUAUUCUGGACGAGAUAUGUGAAUCCUCUAAACCCUGUGAAAUCGAUCCUAUUAAAUUGAAAGAGGGAGAUAAUGUAGAAAACAACAAGGAGAAUCUGCGCUACUAUGUAGACAAACUAUUCAGUACAAUUAUAAAAUCCAGUAUGAGCUGCCCCACUGUAAUGUGUGAUAUCUUUUAUUCUCUAAGGCAAAUGGCCACACAGAAAUUCCCUAAUGACCCUCAUGUUCAAUACUCUGCAGUGAGCAGCUUUGUAUUUCUCCGUUUCUUUGCUGUAGCCGUAGUCUCACCUCAUACUUUUCAUUUGCGACCUCAUCAUCCAGAUGCACAGACAAUCAGAACAUUAACUCUCAUCUCAAAAACUAUUCAGACUUUGGGAAGCUGGGGGAGUCUGUCCAAAAGCAAGUCAAGUUUCAAAGAGACAUUCAUGUGUGAGUUCUUCAAGAUGUUUCAAGAAGAAGGAUAUAUUAUAGCAGUUAAAAAGUUCUUAGAUGAAAUUUCAUCUACUGAAACUAAAGAGUCCAGUGGAACAAGCGAGCCUGUGCACCUGAAAGAAGGUGAGAUGUAUAAAAGGGCUCAGGGAAGAACUCGGAUUGGAAAAAAGAAUUUCAAGAAACGGUGGUUCUGCCUGACGAGCAGAGAGCUCACCUACCACAAGCAGCCAGGUAGUAAAGAUGCAAUUUAUACAAUUCCAGUGAAAAAUAUUCUUGCUGUGGAAAAACUGGAAGAGAGCUCUUUCAACAAGAAAAAUAUGUUCCAGGUAAUCCACACAGAGAAACCACUCUACGUCCAGGCAAAUAACUGCGUAGAAGCCAAUGAGUGGAUAGAAGUACUCUGCAGGGUGAGCCGGUGCAAUCAGAACAGGCUCAGUGUUUACCAUCCUUCUGCGUAUCUCAGCGGAAUCUGGCUCUGCUGUCAGGAGACCAGUGAAAACACUCUAGGCUGCAAGCCAUGCACUGCGUAAGUUUCCUGCAGUAUAGCCACAUGAGGGAAUGCUACUCUGUCAGGAAGUGGCAUGAAGUCUUGACACAUGCUUCAACAUAGAUGCACCUUGAAAAUACGAUAAGGGAGGGAAGGAAGACACUCAGCUUCCGUCCCUGGCGCCAUCAUAAGCCAGAGCUGAGCAGUGCUCUGGAAAGGAGGGAAUAGAAUGAAACAGAAGCCUCUACAGGCACAUACCGUAUACUAAUAUUUAUAUAUAAAGUGCCCCGAAGAAGUCAGCCCUUAGAUGUAGAAAAUUAAUUAGUGUCUGCUACUCCGCAGGGGAAGAAGAACAGAAUGAAGAAUUGCUCACGGGCCCAGGGUUUCUUUCUUCAGGAUGAUGAAAAUAUUCCCAUAUAGUGAUUGCACAAGUAAAGGGGGGGUGGGAGGCAGUGUCUAAGUAGAUGCGCAAGCCUGAGGAAGCCAUCAAGGAAGUCAGGCUUAGCAGUCCCUUCCUCAUUUACGGAACAACCAUAGUUGCCCUAUAAAUAGAAGAAGUGAUUUUUUUUUUUUAUGAUGAAGCAUAUAAGUUAUGACAGUGAUUUCACUUUAAGAUCGCCCUGCUUCUGAUGAGAGCCACCUAAUGACCAGGCCUCUUUUGACCUCUUGUAAUUGACCGAACUGCCAGCUCAGUCGCUGGAGCAGGAGACUCUUAAUGACCUAGCAAAUAAGAAUGGCCUAGCAAAAAGGAACUCAGGUUCUUUUCUAUAUAGUUUCUGUAAUUUGGGCUUUUAAAAAAUUUUUUAAAAAAAGAUAAUUGUAUUUAUUUAUUAUUGGAUAGAGACAGAGAGAAAUUGAGAGGGGAGGAGGGGAUAGAGGGGGAGAAAGAUAGACACCUGCAACCCUGCUUCACCAAUUGUGAAGCUUUCCCCCUGCAGGUGGAGACCAGGGGCUUGAACCUGGAUCCUUGUACACUAUAAUGUGUACUUAACCAGGUGUGCCAUUGCCUGGCUUCUUUGUUUGUUUGUUUGUGGUUUUUUGUUUGUUUAUCUCAGACCAUCAAGUCUUGGGCAUUUUAACCAUGUAAAAUUUCUCUAAUUUCAUUUUUCAUCACAGAGGUAUCCCUGCAGACAUGCAGAUAAAUAUUGAUGAAGACAGAGAAAUAGAAAGAAUUUAUUCCCUUUUCACUCUCAGUUUACCCAAGCUGCAGAAAAUGGAAGAGGCUUGUGGAACCAUAGC